UAUUUAAAUAGGCUAACUAGUAUUCCAAGGCAUUAUUUCUCAUAUUAUUUUCUUAAGAGCUCAUAUUUUUCCUAUAUAAAGUAUUCUUAUGAUCAAAUAACCCUUUAGGUGGGUUUUUAAUUCACUUGUUGGAUGCAGCCGAUAACUGAUAGACAUCUAAACAGUUGAACUAACAUGUUUAGUAAACACUUUAAAAGGGCAGCUAAUAGCUGAUUGAAUACCUAUCGGUUGCCUUUUGGAUCAGCUCUACUCUAUGAGCUGUUCAAGACCUGUUGUUCCAUUUUUUAAUUAUUUGACAAAAAUAACCUCAAUAUUUAAUUUUGUUAUUUUUUUCAAUCAUUGUCGAUGAGACAUGGUACUUGACAUGCACGGUAAAACAGUGCUAAGUACCACGUCCAGUGUAAUAACUUAAAUAAAAAAAAUAAAUAUACAAUUACUUUUUUUUAAUUUUCAAUUUUUUUACAAAACUUUUAUGAUACUAAAACAGCAAAUGAUUUAUUUGAAUCAUACCUUUUUAAGUUUUUUAAUUUGUUCUUAAGUUAUUGAAUUACUAUUUUUUUUAGAUUAUUUAUUAUUUGUUUAUCUAUUUUAAAAAUAAAAUAAAAAAUAUGAUAUAAUAAUUAAUAAUUAUAUGUUUAUUUCAAC
rnacentral:misc_RNA from 1 species